UUUACCUUGCUCAUGAUUUAUUCCCUACCAAUAAAGUAUAGAAUUUGGAGUCCUGUUUCCCAUGAAUCUUUGCAUGACAUCCAGCAUCUGGGCAUUUUUGUUCUGAAAGAGUUUUUGAUGACAGAAUUUUUUAAACUUGUAUUUUUCACAGGUUCUGGUUAAUUUUUCAUGUCUGAGAUAACAAAUGAGGUUGAACACUGCCUGUACAUUUAACAGCCAUUUGUCUCUCUGCUGAGACCGGUCUUUCCCUGUCCCUGCUCUCCCCUCCAUCGCAGUGUUUGUCUUUGUGCUUUUGAUUCACACGAGCUUCUUAUAAAUGAAAGAAAUUAAUCCUUGCACGUCGUACAUGCGUGGUUUUUUUCAUAGGGAAAUGUUGAAGGUGGCCAUGGGAUUGGUGCCACAGAAUGCUG
rnacentral:lncRNA from 1 species